UAAUAAAAAAGUAGCAUUUAGGUAGUGACGACAACGACGUAUUUCCACGCAUUUAAAAGUGGUUUCAUCGCUUUAAGAGACAUUUUCAAAAGUUAAACGUCACGAUAUACAUCAAGAAGUGUUUUAGUUGUGUAAUUUUUUAAAGAACUAUGAAGUUUAAAGUGUUUUUUAACAUGAUUUGCUUUUUCGAUGGACUCAAAGUACCACAAUGCACCGCAACAAAAUGUCAUCUCCUUGGCUACGGCGUUGGAGGAGCUACGCCCCACGAGAAAGGAAGGAGGCUUGGCCCUGAAAGGACUCAUUGUAGGACGGGGUGAGCAUGUGUGCGGCCGCAGUGUGACUGUGUGAGUUCUGAGUUGGACCCCCCCCCCCCCUCCUUGAAGAUCUGAGGGAUUAGUUGAUGGGCGCACAUCGCCUCCUCCUUCUCGGACUACAACUCCGCGACGUGGAAAGUGCAAAGCGUUGAAUCAUGCUCCUCGUCAUCCCCACCGAUUGGAAGUGGAGCCGGAAUUGGGCAAAAUUCGGAUAACAAGCACAAGAAGAGCGGAACUUUCCCAGAUCUCCCCCGAGCUUCCCCAACCUUCUUUCUCCGCAUUGUUGCUGCGGUGAAAAUGCCUCCGCACCAGGGGCUCGGUCCGCUCCAUUGCCCCCCCUCACUCACACAUGUGGUUGAAUGUUGAAGAAGUGAGGGAAGGAAUCGAACCUUGGCGACCGAACAGGAUAUCGUAAACAUUUUUUUAUAACUUAUCUUCACUUUUGUUUCUAAGCUGUUGAACUGAUCAGUCCAACAUGGGGAACGCGGGGAGUAUGGACCAACACACGGAUCUCAGGGGCCACAACAUGCCCCUAAAACUCCCCAUGCCGGACCCUGGAGAGCUGGAGGAAAGAUUCGCUAUUGUUUUGAACUCAAUGAAUCUUCCUCCAGACAAAGCUCGCCUGUUGAGGCAGUAUGACAACGAGAAGAAGUGGGAGCUCAUCUGCGAUCAGGAGCGAUUCCAAGUGAAAAAUCCACCUCACACUUACAUCCAAAAGUUGAGGAGUUAUCUUGACCCGGCAGUUACAAGAAAGAAAUUCAGGCGAAGAGUUCAAGAGUCCACCCAAGUCCUGAGAGAACUGGAAAUUUCACUGCGGACCAAUCAUAUCGGAUGGGUUAGAGAGUUCCUCAAUGAAGAAAACAAAGGCCUGGAUGUGCUGGUGGACUAUCUUUCUUUUGCACAGUACGCUGUCACGUUCGAUGGAGAUGGUGUUGAAAACAAUUCUGAAGCCCUCAUAGACAAGACCAAACCUUGGAGUCGCUCCAUCGAGGACCUGCAUGGAGGAAGCACAAUGUCAUCCCCCCUUAGUGGGAACGGCAUCACCCGGGCGGGGCGACACUCAACAAUACGUUGUAACACAUUGCCCAGUCGUAGGACGCUAAAGAACUCCAGGUUGGUCUGCAAGAAAGACGACGUCCACGUCUGCAUCAUGUGCCUGCGCGCUAUCAUGAACUACCAGUAUGGCUUCAACAUGGUCAUGUCCCACCUUAAUGCUGUGAAUGAAAUUGCACUAAGUCUCAACAAUAAAAACCCAAGAACCAAAGCUUUGGUCUUGGAGCUCCUUGCAGCAGUUUGUCUCGUGAGGGGAGGCCAUGAAAUCAUCCUUGCUGCGUUUGACAACUUUAAAGAGGUUUGCAUGGAGACUCAGCGGUUUGAGAGGCUAAUGGAGUAUUUCAAGAAUGAAGACAACAACAUUGAUUUCAUGGUGGCCUGCAUGCAGUUCAUCAACAUCGUUGUGCACUCGGUAGAGGACAUGAACUUCCGGGUUCAUCUCCAGUACGACUUCACCAAGCUCGGUCUGGAUGAAUUCUUAGACAAACUCAAGCACACAGAGAGCGAUAAACUGCAGGUUCAGAUCCAGGCCUACUUGGACAAUGUGUUUGAUGUCGGCGCCCUCUUGGAGGAUGCCGAGACCAAAAACGCGGCCCUGGAGCGAGUGGAGGAGCUGGAAGAAAACAUGUCACAUUUAACAGAGAAGCUGCUGGAUGCAGAAAAUGAAGCCAUGUCCAAGAUUGUGGAGCUGGAGAAGCAGCUGAUGCAGACUAACAAGGAUCUAGAAGGCAUGAAGGAAGCUUACAAAGACACGAGCGGGAAGCUGCACUCGCUAAGGCAGGUCUUAAAAGAGAAGGACGAGGCCAUUCAGCGACAGAGUCACUUGGAGAAGAAGAUCCACGAGCUGGAGAAGCAGGGCUCUAUCAGGAUCCACAAAAAGGGAAACGGCGACAUCUCCAUUCUGGCCACAUCACCACCCGGCGGUAUGGAAGUGUUGCCUGGCACCAUGACAAGGGGAAAUGGCGGCCCCGUUGGAGACGCGGUGGGUGCCACGUCUCCUCCACCACCUCCGGCCCCUCCAUUGCCAGAGAAUGGCACAUUAUCAAAUGGACCUUCAUCGACCACACCUACUCCAGCAGCUCCUCCCCCACCACCGCCGCCGCCUCCACCGCCCCCACCUCCACUUCCACCUACAGGACCCACUUCACACAUGUCAGCCCCCCUGCCGCCUCCGCCUCCUCCUGCAGCGCCUCCACUGCCCGGCUGUGGGACCCCCACUGUCAUCAUGAACUCCGGUUUAGCCGAGGGACCCAUCAAACUUUUCUCUGUUAAAAUAAAAAAACCCAUCAAAACAAAGUUCCGCAUGCCAGUCUUCAACUGGGUUGCACUGAAACCCAACCAGAUCAACGGGACAGUCUUCAAUGAGAUCGACGAUGAAAGGAUACUUGAGGACCUGAAUGUAGAUGAGUUCGAGGAAAUGUUCAAGACGAAAGCCCAGGGCCCGUCGAUGGAGUUCACCAUGAGCAAGCAGGUCAUUCAGAAAGGACCGAACAAGGUGACGCUGCUGGACUCCAACCGGGCGAAGAACCUGGCUAUCACGCUGAGGAAAGUGGGCAAGACGCCAGAGGAGAUCUGCAAGGCCAUUCAGUUGAUUGACUUGCGGACCCUGCCGGUGGACUUCGUCGAGUGCCUCAUGCGCUUCCAGCCCACGGAGCACGAGGUGAAAACCCUGCGGCAGUUCGAGAAGGAGCGUAAGCCAGUGGAGAGCCUGACAGACGAGGACCGCUUCAUGAUGCAGUUCAGUAAGAUCGAGCGGCUCAUGCAGAAGAUGACUAUCAUGGCCUUCAUCGGGAACUUCACAGAGAGUUUGCAGAUGUUAACGCCGCAACUUCAUGCAGUCAUCGCUGCAUCCGUGUCCAUCAAGUCGUCACAGAAGCUGAAAAAAAUACUAGAGAUUAUUUUAGCACUUGGAAACUACAUGAACAGCAGCAAAAGGGGAGCAGUCUAUGGAUUCAAGCUGCAAAGUUUAGACCUGCUACUUGACACCAAAUCGACAGACCGCAAGAUAACAUUGUUACACUACAUAGCCAACGUGGUGAAGGAGAAAUACAGCCAGGUCUGUCUUUUCUACAAUGAGCUUCACUAUGUGGAGAAAGCUGCUGCAGUGUCGCUGGACAACGUCCUGCUGGAUGUGAAAGAGCUGCACAGAGGCAUGGAGCUGACCAAGAGAGAGUACAGCAUGCACGGCCACAACACCAUGCUCAAGGAUUUCAUCAUGCACAACGAGAGCAAGCUGAAAAAGCUGCAGGAUGACGCCAAGAUCGCACAGGAUGCCUUUGAGGAGGCAGUGAAGUUCUAUGGAGAGAGUUCAAAAACUACGCCGCCAUCCGUCUUCUUUCCUGUGUUUGUACGCUUUGUGAAGGCCUACAGGCAAGCUGAAGAGGACAACGAGCAGAAAAAGAGGCAGCAGCAGAUUUUGAUGGAGAAGCUUCUAGAACAGGAGGCCAUGAUGGAAGCAGACCAGAAGUCUUCUUCGCAUAAAAACAAAAGACAGCAACAGGAGCUGAUCCAAGAACUGCGGAAGAAGCAAGUAAAAGACAGCCGCCACGUCUAUGAAGGCAAAGAUGGAGCCAUUGAGGACAUCAUCACGGUGCUGAAGACGGUGCCCUUUACCGCCCGCACCGCCAAGCGCGGCUCUCGGUUCUUCUGCGAGCCCGCCCUCAAUGAGGAGUACCAUUACUAAGCUUGUAGAACUCUCUUCUUCCCUUCCAAAAAAAAAAAAAGGUUGCUGGAACACGUCGUCCUUCUCUCCCCACUUUGUCCUGGAAUAACCUUGCACGCUUUCUAACUUCCACACGUGUCCUGUUGUGGGGUUGCCAACACAUAAACCACACUUGCCUGAGUGAAUGUGUGUUUAAUCACCUUUUUCGACCUCCUAAGCAUGACACGGUGUUGGCGUGGGGCCACCUAAAUGGAGUCUGACCCCGUCUUUAACAAUCAUCAUUUCAUCAUGUAGAUUUUUCCUCAGAGGUGACUUUUCUCUGCUGACAGUACAAGAAAACUGCUGCUGGCUUUAACAGCAAGCUCUGACUUUUAGCUACAUGCUGCCAUCUAGUGGAUGUGAAUGGAAGGCCACCCUACAGACAUAGUAGACUAACCAGCUAAGGAGAGCAUGCUCUAUGUUGACAAUCAUUUCAUCAUACUUUUUCAUUAUGCAAUCAAUUAAUCCAUUAUACUUAGCUAGAACACCAUUAAAUUAGAUUAGCGAUAUAAAACCAUAUUUGAUAGAUAGAUAGUACUUUAUUGAUUCCUUCAGGAGAGUUCCCUCAAGAAAAUUAAUAUUAUUCAUACCCUGGCUUAAGAUUGAGUUAAAAUUGAUGGUGAAAAGAAAUAAUUGGCCAUAACACAUUUGCUAAAACAAAGAAAGAAAGAAAAUCAGAACAAACGCUCAUUUCGUUAAUGUCACAAGACAAAGCCACCUACGAGGGCUGUGGCCAUUAGUUUGGCACAGGAGUCUGCAGUUAUUAUAGUCAUAAUACAGUUAUAAUGCAGUUAUUAUUGUCAUAAUACGGUUAUAAUGCAGUUAUUAUGGUCAUAAUGCAAUUAUGAUGUAGUUAUAACCUGGUCAUAAUACAGUGCCAAUGCAGUCAUAAUGCAGUUAUUAUGGUCAUAAUGUGGUUAUAACCUGGUCAUAAUGUGGUUAUUGCGGUUGUAAUGUAGUUAUAACAUGUUAUAAUGCGGUAAUAAUGCAGUUACUAUGUCAUAAUGUGGUUAUAACAAGGAGUCCCAGUGCUAACGCAACGAUAAUGCAGUUAUGUUAUAGCACGAUUAUAAUGCAAUUAUUAUGGUUAUUGUGGUUGUAACUUGUAAUGUAGUCAUAACGUGGUCAAAACGCGGGGAUAUGGUCGUAAUGUGGUUAUAACCUGGUCACAACAGUUACUAGGGUCAUAGUGUGGUUGUAACGAGGUCAUAAUGCAGUUAUUAGGGUCAUAAUGUGAUUAUAACCUGGUCAUAAUGUGGUCAUAAUGCAGUUAUUAGGGUCAUAAUGUGGUCAUAUUGCAGUUGUGGUUAUAACCGGGUCACAAUGCAGUUAUUAGGGUCAUAAUGUGGUCAUAUUGUAGUUUUGGUUAUAACCUGGUCACAAUACAGUUAUUAGGGUCAUAAUGGAGUUAUAUUGUGGUUAUAACGAGGUCAAAAUGCAGUUAUUAGGGUCAUAACGUGUUAUAUUGUGGUUUUAACAAGGUCAAAAUGCAGUUAUUAGGGUCACAACGUGUUAUAUAGUGGUUAUAACGAGGUCAAAAUGCAGUUAUUAGGGUCACAACGUGUUAUAUUGUGGUUAUAACGAGGUCAAAAUGCAGUUAUUAGGGUUAUAACGUGUUAUAUUGUGGUUAUAACGAGGUCAAAAUGCAGUUAUUAGGGUCAUAACGUGUUAUAUUGUGGUUAUAACGAGGUCAUCAUGCCGUUAAUAAGGUCACAACGUGUUAUAUUGUGGUUAUAACGAGGUCUUAAUGCCGUUAAUAAGGUCAUAACGUGGUUAUAUUGUGGUUAUAACGAGGUCAAAAUGUAGUUAUUAGGGUCACAACGUGUUAUAUUGUGGUUAUAACCUGGUCAAACUGCAGUUAUUAGGGUCUUAACGUGUUAUAUUGUGGUUAUAACGAGGUCAAAAUGCAGUUAUUAGGGUCAUAACUUGUUAUAUUGUGGUUAUAACGAGGUCAAAAUGCAGUUAUUAGGGUCAUAACAUGUUUUAUUGUGGUUAUAACGAGGUCAAAAUGCCGUUAUUAGGGUCAUAACGUGUUAUAUUGUGGUUGUAACAAGGUCAAAAUGCAGUUAUUAGGGUCAUAAGGUGUUAUAUUGUGGUUAUAACGAGGUCAAAAUGCAGUUAUUAGGGUCAUAACGUGUUAUAUUGUGGUUAUAACGAGGUCAUCAUGCCGUUAAUAAGGUCAUAACGUGGUUAUAUUGUGGUUAUAACGAGGUCAAAAUGCAAUUAGGGUCACAACGUGUUAUAUUGUGGUUAUAACGAGGUCAUAAUGCCGUUAAUAAGGUCAUAACGUGGUUAUAUUGUGGUUAUAACGAGGUCAAAAUGUAGUUAUUAGGGUCAUAACGUGGUUAUAUUGUGGUUAUAACGAGGUCAUCAUGCCGUUAAUAAGGUCAUAACGUGGUUAUAUUGUGGUUAUAACGAGGUCAAAAUGCAGUUAUUAGGGUCACAACGUGUUAUAUUGUGGUUAUAAGGAGGUCAUUAUGCCGUUAAUAAGGUCAUAACGUGGUUAUAUUGUGGUUAUAACAAAGUUAUAAUGCAGUUUUUAGUGUCAUAAUGCGGUGAUAAUGCCAACAGGUGGUGUCAAAGCUCAUGGUAACAGUCUGUGUCGGCCACCAUUAAUACAUGGGAUUACAUAAAUUAAUUAUGUUACAUUGAAUCAUCUGACUAAAAAGGAAAACAGGAAUAUGAAAUUGUGUUAGAAUGACCAUUUAUGAAAUAUAGUAAAUAUUUGUAUCAGGUUUUUUUUGUGUUUGCAAAAUGAUUCCUAUUCCUGACAUUUACGAGGAAAUAAUUGUUUGCACCAUCCUAAACAUCCAAAUCAUUUUAAUCAAUUCUAAAUCAUAAAAUAUCCUAGAUUUUAAUCAACUGUAAAUGAACAUUGCAUAUGCAUAAAUCACAAAAAAAUCAUAUAAAUGAAUAUGGACCUCAACCUUUGUUAAAAUGUAAAGAACGCUAGGAUUUUGUUCUCUAUUUUCAGUUUAAAACUCACCAAAUAUCACUUUUUAGUUCAAAUGAAGCCAGUGUCUAAAUAAUAGUUGGAAAAAUAGUAACUGUACCGGUAUAUUAAAUGUUCAAAUACAGAAUAAAGAUACAUCAUCAUACUGUCAUUAAUGACAAAUAUAACAAGACUUUCUGCCCUUUUUUUUUUACUGUUGCAUCCUCCUUUACUAACUUGAUGACUGAGAUAAUAAUUCACUUAUUUUUUAUUUUGUUUGCAAAUGUUGCAUGCUCACUACUUCUGUUUUUCUGCUGUGCGUGCUUGUGUGUGUGUGCGUGUGUUACUUACACACAUCUGUAUACAAGUGUGCAUGCAAGUGAAAGUGGAGUUUGAGCUGCGAUUCUUUGCAUGAGUGCAUGUUGUGUUGACACCAUGACAGACUGCUGGUAGCCUCUCUGCAAAGCAACAAACAACAACGAGGCAUCCUCCUUGCUUUUGCGCCCUCUCGCACGCUAAGCGCCCCCUGCCUGUGCAGAGCCGCCGUGCAAAUGUUCCCUCGGUAACGUCCCUUUUUGUCUUCUCUUUGUCCAGCCCUAAAGAGGAGUAACAUUACUAAAUUCCCCAAUGUAUCCUCGAGGCUGAGGAAGUCCUCUGGUAGGACCCCAGUAGUGCUGCAAGUGUCCCCCACCUGGCAAGCAAUCUUAUUUCUUUGACUUGAUUUGACGCUAAACACCCAGCCCUCUUGGAAAACAAAACUGUAAAUAAGUUGGAUACACUUUAGAGUAGUCAGUGUACAGCUUGUACGGAUGUACUAUCUAUCAACAAAAAGCUAUAAAAGCCUUUCAAUGAACGGCAGCACUCGUGCAGCCCCACACCAUGACUGUAUCUUACACUCACCUGUGUUGAUACUAGCAAUGGACGAUAUGUAACAUAUGUAUUGCAGUAACAGGAUGUUAUUUGGCAUAUAGAAUAUAAUAUCAUUUUACAAAUAUUUAAUUUAGCUGCUAACGUGCGCUAACAUUGAUCAUUUCCAAUUCUCAAAACUACCGGUAUUCACUUAUUUGCUAAUUAACUCUUAAUAACUGAUUAAUUUCUACAUCCUGUUGUUUUCAUACUUUACAUUAGUUGUGGGUGAUACUACAAAUGUGGGUAUCAAUCUGAUACCAAGUAGUUACAGUAUUGGCGUAUCAAUACUGACACUUCAAAUGUUUGAGAUCAUUGAAUGAUUACACUUUUGAUCCCAAUUAUAAUCAGACAAAAACACAGAAUAUUAAAUAUUUUCAUAUUUCCUACUGAACGUGCUGAUUUAAAUCCUUAUUUCCUAAAUUUGUAAAUCAUUAAAAAAAAUUUUUGGUGAUAAAAAAUAUCAAUCUGAUGACCACCUGGUUACUGUCAAUAUUUGUAUCCAUCCGCCCACCUUUGUUUACAUUCAAAAGCUCAAGCUUAGCAUUUCUUCUUACAGUGUGUAGUGGAGCAUGUUUAGCUGUUCCUCGUCUUCCAGUGAUAACAUACCUGAAAAAAACUUCUUUUUUUUUUUUUGCCGCCAUGGAGGCGAAGAUUACUGACGUACAGUGCAUCCAGAAAGUAUUCACAGCGCUUCACAUUUUGUGUUAUAGCCUUAUUUCCUAAAUAAAUUUGUGUCCUCAAAAUUCUACAAACAAUACCCCAUAAUGACAAUGGGUAAUUUUUUAAUUUUUAAUUUCAGCAAAUUUAUUAAAUUUAAAAAAUGAAGAAAUCAAAUGUACAUAAGGAAUACAUUUGUUUUUGUCCUUUAAAUUCUACAAACAAUACCCCAUAAUGACAAUGGGAAAACAUUUUUUAUUUUAACAAUUUUAUUAAAUAUAAAACAUGAAGAAAUCCCAUGUGCAUAAGGAAUACAUUUGUUUUUGUCCUCAAAAUUCUACAAACAAUAUCCCACAAUGACAAUGGGGGAAAACAUUUUUUAAGAAAUUUUAGCACAUUUAUUAAAUAUAAAAAACGAAGAAAU